UCGGCCAUUUUUUCAAAAACAACCUCGGAUGUAUGCCGGUACAUCUGUUGAAGUAGUCCGUAUUUUUUUUAAUAAAAGCAUUAAUUAAAUGUAGUGUUUAAGAGUUGUAUUCAUUGCUCUCAGUUUAAAUUGAUUGCCAGUGAAGUGUAUUAUUGCAAACAUAAUUACGACUCCCAAGAGUUAAGUCAUAAAUUUUAACUACUAAAUAAGAUUACUACGCGAUCUAUUUGCAGCGGACUUAAACGUACCACUUUUUAAGUAUGUAAACCGUCCAUAUACAUCCGAGGUUGUUUUUGAAAAAAUGGCCGAGGAGUUCCGAAUGGAGGAAAGUGUCACGUGACAAAUUCACUCAAUGGCGGAGGAUUAAACAGACGGACUAUCGAAGGGAGUCUUGGGGUACUGAAUGGAACCUUCCCGACACCUGACCUGGGUAGGAUAAAGCUGCCGGUAAAAGAGGUGGAUGGGUUGCGGAAGGUGUAUGAGAUAUUGACAUCCCUCUCAGUUGUUCCUGGGGUGAAAAAGUCUGCAGUGGACAAACUGACCAUUAUACUGCAAGUCUAGAACACGAGUCGAGAGAAAGAUGUGACGCCGUGCCGUAGUAGUUGGCCGUGUUUAUACAGCAGUACAGAUUCGUGGCGCUUCUCCUGGUGAUGUCCGACUUGUUGCCGGUCUUGGCAAAUCUUUCACUUGCCCUGCAGAUGAGGGACGCGGUAUACAACGCAGUCGGUACGCUCGUGAUGGGUGCUAUCACAACGGCCCGUUCCAUAAAGGAGCACCCUGGGCAGAACUUCCAGCAUCUUCCACAGGCCAUUGACCAUCUCACCGAGCAGUCGUUCCGAUUUACCCGCCCAAAGCCGUGAGACGACAUUGACUUCAAGGAGCAAGUGUACGACAUUUCGUUUAUUGACGACGUGGUUAGCAACCUUGAGCAGCGAUUUCCACACAUCCCCUUGUUGGAAGCGUUCUGUGCAUUCAUCCCUACCACCCUACCGGCCGGCGACCAAGCAGAGGAAUACGACCAUUGUACAGACAUUCUUAGACCAGAUGCCAGUGAAGCCGCCCCUAAAAACCGAGUGCUGAAAAACACUAUCACGCAGGAUACGACACUCCGCCAGGCAACUACAACAGUCCAAAUGCUGAAGGUGUCCGGAUCGUUGCAGGGUGCCAUGCCUAACCUAAGUUUAUUAGCUUCUGCAUGCCUGUUUCUUCCGUCGUCAACAGCCAACUGCGAAUGAGGGUUCUCGACCUUGCUGUGUGUUAAAACGGCCCGACGUACUACAGAACAUACUACAAAAUCAAAAGUUGAACGCCAUCUUACGGAUGUCUAUGAAGGACCCCACCGUUGCCAAUUUUAUGGAGACUUGGGUCGAGCAGAUGGUGACAGAGUGGGGCAAGGACAGGCACAGGCUCCUUGUUUAGAUUAAAAGUUUUAUAUGUUGUCUGACAUGUGUGUAGUCGCGGUGCGUACCGUCGCGUCAUCAUCAUCAUCAUUAAUGUUGUAGCAUUCAUUUGUUCUAUUCUGUGUUUUUGUCAUUAUAUUAUUUAAUAAAUUAUCAUCACAUUUACAUUAAUAAUAAAGACAUAAAAAAGUGAAAGGAAAAUAGCGCUGAACUUAUAUUUAUUUGUCAUUAUUGUUUAUUUAUUUGUCAUUAUUGUCGUCGUGUGCAGGUAUAAUUACAAGGCAACAUAUGUGAAGAAACAAAAGGUUUCGAUUCAUGUAGGUUUUUUUAAAGAUAAGCUAUUAACUUUCUUAAUAUUGGGAGAAUUUUUGUCAUAUAAAAACCAUAAACCACUCUAUAAACAGCACUUUCCACGGUUAUAUAGGACUGUCUUAAAAAUCCUAAACUUUUUCUGAAAAUCUUCACCAACUGAUUUCUCGGAGUUGAAAUUUUCGGCAAAGUACAUGGCUCCUGACAAAUUAUGUUACUAAAAAUUGUUUAAGCCAUAAUUCAAUCAUACGAUAAUCAUAUUUCAGUAAAUUUCAUGCAUUGUGUAGGAUACAAAAGCAAUGGUUUUAUUUCUAAUAGGUAUUUCAGAGGGGAAAAUGAGCAAAACAAAAUUGAUAGUGCACGAACAAUUUAGAUUUGAUAAAAGUUUUCACUUUUCAAACCUUCAGUGCAUAUCCUUAUUGUUUACAGACUGGUGCUAACUGUUCGAAUCUGGGUCAUGUGCGGUCAAAAAGUAGGUCACCAGGUCAAAUUUAAGGAAAAGCUUGUUAACACUUAAGAGGUCACAUUUAUAACUGUAUCUUCAUGAAAGUUGGUCAGAAUGUUUAUAUUAAUUAUCUCUAAGCCAAGUUUGAAUCUGGGUCAUGUGUGGUCAAAAACUAGGUCAACAGGUCAAAUAAAAGGAAAAGCAUGUUAACACUCUAGUGGCCACAUUUCACACUUGAAUUGGAUCAGGUGAGCGAUACAGGUCCUUCAGGGCCGUCUUGUUUGUCUUGGAUUGAACCAAUUUUUGUGUAAAUAUCUGCAAACUAGUGGUAUAUGACUGCUGACAAAAGAUCAGAUCGCAGAUUUUCAUAUUUCUGUUCGAAAAAUAAAUUUUCAUGUCUUAAACCGUUACUAACGGUUUACAAAAAAUUCAUAAAACAUCAUUUUUUAAAAUUAAAUAUGAAAGUCUGCGAUCUGAAUUUUUGUAAGGAGUCUUAUAUCACUGGUUUCCAUGCAUUUUCGAAUAAAUUGGCUCGUUCUUAGACAAAAAAUAAAAAAAGUUGUAAAACGUUCAGUCUGUGAGAGUGCAGCUUUAAAAUGGCAAUCAAUAUAAGUUUCGCAUAUUGUCUGUGAAAAAAUAAUGCUGAAAUUGAAUUAAAGCUCCAAAAUAAAAUUGAUAAAUAAUUUAUAGGCGUAAUGACUUAGAACAUACACUCUCUUAUUUGGAAAGCUUGAGCAUGGGUUCGUUUGUACAAAAAUAUCCAAAUCCAAUCAGUUUGUCAGGUUUAGGUGUUAUAUGUAAAGAACAUCUGAAUUUAAAGCAUCCAUAAACCGGCCUGAUCACAGUGUUUGCUUUACUUUAAAGCAAAUGCAGAUAAUCUGUUCAACUAUUAACGCACUGACACUGAACACUGAAAAUGCACCCUGAUGCCUGGCGGAGAAUGAUUUCCAGGGUGCUCCAUCAUGGAACGACCCUUUUUGAUAGCACCCAUGACCAGCCUACCGACCGUGUUGUAUACCCUGUCCCUCGUCUGAAGUGAUCCAAAACACAAAACACAAAAGUGAUGUAACCAGUGGCAUGUGGGGUCAUUGUAUAUAUUUGGAUAUCAAUCAUGUACACGAGCAAUUGUUUUAUAUGCACGCCAAUUUGUGUCAUUCAAGAAAUUCCCAGCCCCAUUUUUAUUAACAAGGAUUUCACAAAGUGAAACCUGAUUAUUAGAAUGACGAAUGUCGUUGUUCGGGUGGCCGGGCAGCGUCAAACUCGCAUAUCAAACUGAAUAAUUUCAGUAAGUGUCGACAUAUCUUGACCAAACUAGGUCUAUAGGACGAGUUUAUGGACUCCUUUCAUGGGAUUGCGUUUGGGUCCCUAGGUUCAAGGUCAAGGUCACUGUUACUUAAAAAGGAAAACGGUUGAAACUGAAUAACUUUAGUUAGGGUUGUGAUAUAUCUUGACCAAACUUGGUCUAUAUGAAGAGUUUAUGGAUACCUUUCAUGGGAUUGCGUUUGGGGUCCCUACAGUACUGUUAAGACCAAACUUUACACUCUUGUUCACUAGGAGUGCACUAGUAGUGAACAAUUUGUGCACUUAGGAUAAACUAAUGUAGUCUGUAGUUUAUUAGAUAAGCCAGUAUAGAUUUUCCUGGUCCACUCAGAUUGGCCUUACUAUAUUGAUUUAAUUUAACUGAUAAGAUCAUUUCCUCUAGCAGAUUAACUUGUGAUAAAACAUUUUAGUAUACUGCAUUUAUUGAUGACUUUAUGAUGAUGAUCAUUUAAUAGGCCAGUAACUAAAGACAAUGGGUUUCUACCCAGCAUUUACUGGUCAUAUUUGUCAACUUUUUAAUUCUAAUGUAGGUGAAAUAAGAAUAAAACAUUUCUUAAAUAAAUCCAAUAAAUAUUCUUUGUAAGCCAAUAUUUGAAAAUAGGGGUGUUAUCAAUAUAAUUGUGCUACUAUUGUAACAUCCAAACGUUUGUUUUGGUAAUUCAGACAUUUAAUUAAAGUCAAUUAGUGAUUACAAAGUAAUAAUUCUGAAUCCUUAGUAAAUAAGUGAACAGCACUAUUAUAUAUUCAAACAGUGAAUGCAAAACCAAUGCUUAUGAUAAAAAGGGUAAUUGUAAUUUAAAAGUAAAAAAAAAAAAAGCAGUGUUGAAAAUACCUUGCCUUAAUUAGAUUUAAAAAUAGAAGCUCAGGCUAUUUCUUCAGAAACAGAUUUUUCAUAUAUGCAUUACAUUAUAACUUCAUCAAAAAACUUAUAAAUACUAAUCUAGAUGAUAUUGCAAUUGUCUGUAACUUUCCUGUAUAGAUGUUACGUAACUAUAUUCACGAUUAAUUUCAUUACUUUUCAUAAAUAAACAUCUUAAAAGCCUAGUUUGAGCAUUUGAUACUGAAUGUAUCUAUUUAUCUUUAUCUACAAAAAGAGCACUAACGGAAAAUAUCCUACCAAAUGGCCCACUAAUCAGGCAUUAAUUUUGAAUGUUUAGAAAAUGAUAAAAUGCUUAUUCAUACUUUUGUAAUGAGAUUACCCAUUGUAACACGGUUAGCCCCAAUAGGUCGGGACAAUAAACAAUAAACCUGUAGGUAGUAUCAGGGACCCUGCUGUGAUAACUUAAAAAUGAUAAAAAAGGGAAUUAUCCUAUGCAUCCAACCAUUAACCAGGCAUUACAAUGAAUAUGAGUUUUAUUAAACUUACUAUUUGAUGUUAAAAUACAUGUUAUGCAUGGUUAAAAUUAAAUAUCUCUACUCUUAACAAUUUGAUUAACAAAUGAUGAAAAGUGUCCUAAAGAAAUAGUGUUUUUUUUAAUUUAUAAUGCAAUUGCAAAAUAUAAUUAAUAAAUAUAAACUAUUUUCCAUCUUUUAUAAAAAACAUAUGUUGUUAACAUCUCUUCUCUAAAACCAAAUUUGUAAGAAAAUAUUGAGUUGCCUAGUUUUAAGAAGAUUGUCAUGUUAAUUCUCUGCUGUGUAUCCCUUGUUUAUUGCACUAGUGUCAUUGCAGGGGCCAAUUUCCUGUGUAUUUGUUUAUUGGCUCGGGGCCAUUUGGAGGUGACACCAUUUAGAGUAGAAAAUAGCAUUGUCCUAUUAAUACACAACCAUUUCUUGCAUAAACAAUAUGUGCAUAGCCAAUGUAUUAAUUUGACUUAUGAGAAGUAAAUAAUAAACAAAUUAAGUAACAUUACAUUUAUGUUGUAGGAUAUAAAUGGGAUAUUAUUAAUAAUAACUAACAUUACUCUUAUUCUUACUCUAAAGCAUUGUUAUAAUGCUUUUAAUAUGAUUUAAAAAGUUAUCAAAAUGAAACGGUAAGUCAAACACUGAUAGAUCUGAGAUUUAAAAGACAGCAGGAGGCAAUAAAGAUAAAGAUCAAUACACAGAAUUGUGUACUAUGGGGGGGGGGGUGCUUACAGAAGGCUUAGUGUAGCCUUCAAUGGAUAGUAUUUCAUUUAAUAAUGAAGCAGCAGAACCAAUUAUACAAAACUUCUAAAAUAUAUGUUUAUCUAUUAUGUGUUUCAAAUUAGAAAUGCAAUCAAUAAAUCUGGGUACAAUUUAGAAAAUGUACUAUAAUAAUUAAUGUUGUACUUAUUUGAUAAUGAUUGCUGUUAGGCUGUCACCUUAAAUCACAAUACAUUUGUUAAACAAAAAUAAAUAUAAAAUUAUAAGUUUUAGAAUAGAUGGAAGAAAAUUUUGUUUUUUAUAACCUUUGAAUGAAUCAACAAUGGCACAACAAUUUCACAGUUUGAGCUUGGAACAAUAAGGUAUGAACCUUGAGGAUUACCUAUUUUAAAUAUCGAACAACUUUAUUAUAUCCUUGUAAAAUGUAUUGUUAUUGUUAAAAUAAAGGCUUAUGAAUUCAUUUCAUCUUUAUGUUCAAUAAGUGUUUGAAGAUGAAACCCUUUAACCCAGAACCAAAGUUAUAUCAUUAUACCUAUCAAUUAAUAUCAAAAUAAUGCAAUGCAUAUUAAUAAAGAAAACAAAAAAC